GCCCGGAUGGUCUAGUGGUAUGUUCUACAGCUCAUCCGAAAUCUUCCCGUUCUGUUCUAACAGUUCAUAAUCAGGUAUGAUUCCUGCUUCGGGAAAUGAAUAUGCAGGAGGUCCCGCGUUCGAAUCGCGGUUCGGGCC